rnacentral:rRNA from 1 species
AUUGAACGCUGGCGGCAGGCCUAACACAUGCAAGUCGAGCGGAUGAAGGGAGCUUGCUCCUGGACUCAGCGGCGGACGGGUGAGUAAUGCCUAGGAAUCUGCCUUGUAGUGGGGGAUAACGUCCGGAAACGGGCGCUAAUACCGCAUACGUCCUGAGGUAGAAAGUGGGGGAUCUUCGGAUCUCACGCUAUCAGAUGAGCCUAGGUCGGAUUAGCUAGUUGGUGGGGUAAAGGCCUACCAAGGCGACGAUCCGUAACUGGUCUGAGAGGAAGAUCAGUCACACUGGAAGUGAGACACGGUCCAGACUCCUACGGGGGGCAGCAGUGGGGAAUAUUGGACGAUGGACGAAAGCCUGAUCCAGCCAUGCCGCGUGUGUGAAGAAGGUCUUCGGAUUGUAAAGCACUUUAGGUUGGGAGGAAGGACAGUAAGUUUAUACCUUGCUGUUUUGACGUUACCAGCAGAAUAAGCACCGGCUAACUUCGUG